AAACCAGCACCUCAAGUGGUCAGGAUGAUUAUUGGGCCUAAAGCAUCCGUAGCCGGCUCUGUAAGUUUUCGGUUAAAUCUGUAUGCUCAACAUACAGGCUGCCGGGAAUACUGCAGAGCUAGGGAGUGGGAGAGGUAGACGGUACUCGGGAGGAAGUGGUAAAAUGCUUUGAUCUCUCGAUGACCACCUGUGGCGAAGGCGGUCUACCAGAACACGUCCGACGGUGAGGGAUGAAAGCUGGGGGAGCAAACCGGAUUAGAAACCCGGGUAGUCC
rnacentral:rRNA from 1 species